AUGACUAUGACGUCAUAUCACUGCUGAUAAAGGUUUAUUAAGACUUGCUACAACACCAACACCAAGGCUGGGGAAACAAAAAACAGCACCAGCCAUAGAAAGAUCACCACCAACAACAGGGAAUGCAGCAAAAAAUAGCAACAAUGGUGGCGGCGGUGGCAGGCGUAAUAACAGCACUAGCAGGAAAACCAUCGGAGAGGUCAACCACGAAAACCAACAACUCGCAACCAAGCUCAGCAACCCCGCUCUCUCACAAACGAACACGCAGAAAAAGAUAAACAUACGAACAGGAAUUCUCUUCCACACAGAGAAGACGAGGUUGCAACAGACACUGAUUCUACCACAUUGAAAAGUGAUAAGGAGGAACAGAGUAAAUAAAAAAAAAAACAAAGAGAAGUCACAGAGGCGAAACAUCUUGUCCUGCACCAAAACAAGAUAACAAGGAAAUUACACAUACGCCCACAACAAACGCAGACACUCAAACAACCCCUGCAACACCACAAUCAUUGACCAAAGCACCACAAGCACCAAAAACUCCCAUUGCAGACAAAAAAAAAUCUAAAAAGGAAACUCACACCACAAAUGCAACAAGAACAGAAAAAACAACGAAGGGAAGACAUUGAAAAAGGUGGGGCGGGGCAAUCUUCUUGGACUAGCACGUGCAACAUGCCAAAGGACUUGAUGAUGGUGAAGAUGGAUUUGGACACUUUCCAAACGAUUAGGGAUACCUUUCCAGACGAUGCAAAGAUCCCUCAAGUAAAUGCUAAUGUAAAGCUUCUAUAAAGGUUCCCCAAAAAGUCCAACUAAGAAUGGAGUUGGGACCACCCGAUCUCCAACGGCAUCAGGGGAGGUCAGAGUUGGUUCCUAAAGGACAAAGUACCAUCGCUGGAACUGGAUAACAGCAAUGUGUGUGCCUGAGAGCUAAAUUCAAAACAAGAAAACGGGGUUUGAGGCUUCUUAAAAUCAUUCCUUACCCUCAGAAUUUUCAAGUGUCGAAACAUCCAGUGACCAUAGGAUACAACACUGAGAAAUAAUCCAGGUUUUGCAUCUCUAUGUAGAACAAAAGAAUUUUACUGGUUCCUCCAUUUUAACUAUAAUUUUUUUUUUAUAAAUUGUUAAUUUGGGUCAGUAAAAACAAGU
rnacentral:lncRNA from 1 species